rnacentral:lncRNA from 1 species
CUCUCAUUUUGAUUACAAAGAAAGUAAUUGACCUUAAGAAGGAAAAGAUAAUGCCAGACCCUUAAAUUCAACUAUGACCUUCAGGAUUCAUGAGGAACAUGACAGAUAUAAGAAAGUAAAUGAUUUCCUAGAUCCUGUUGUUUGCAAUCCUUGGGCAGUUUCCAUUCACAGCCAGGAAGACUGAAUUCCCACUAUGCAGGCACUACAUCAUGAAACCUGAUGACAUGGCAGAUGGCAUGUCAUAGAGGCAAUUCCUACUAUGCUUUCAGGCUAUAUUUGCAUGAUCACUGUCAAUGAUUGCAAUGCCCAAGUCUCAGUCCUUAGUCUAUAGAGCAGAAAUAGGACUCUUUGCAGUACUCAAGACUCAGUGAAUAAUCUAUCCAAGACACAUACAGUAGUAUAAAUUCAGGUUCAAGAG